rnacentral:tRNA from 1 species
GGUGCUGGUGGAUUAGGAGAAUUGAUUCUUCUUGGCAUUAAUCGAGGGGGAGAUAUUCCGCUGAUCUUAUUAGGUGCAAUACCUGCAGCUCUUC